CUUUGUUUAUAUUUUUAUAAUUUUGUAAAUACCCCUAAAUUUGUAAAUAAUUAUGCUUUAACUCUAGUUUAAAUGUAAAUAACCUAAUAUGUAAAUAUAAUCCUUUUUCCUCUAUCCUUCGAUACCAGUUACCCAUAAUUAAAUGAAUUAAAUAGAAAAAUGUAAUGAAUUUGUAAAUAAAAAAAAAAUAAAUUUGAAUUUGAAAUCCUCCCAAAUAAACCCCUGGUAUCCCACCAUCAAAAUCCUUCCCAACCAUAUAUGCACUGAUGCAUCAUGGCGCCCACUACCAACUGUGCGAAGACAAAUCCCUCCCGGGAAAUGUUCUACGAUUUGGUUUUGCUGCAUCAUCAAGUCCUAUAAAAAGGAUAUGCAAGCCCAGGAAAUGAGCUUUUUCGGAACAAAAUUCCUACAAGUAUUUGUCGUGAGUGAUCAAGCGACGCAACCGUUAAUUAUCAUUGGUGCCAAGUGUUUAACGGAGUGGUUGAAGAUACCGAGAAGUGCCCGAGUGGUUUGAACGAAGCAUCGGUGGUAUUGAAGAGCGGCUGGAGAAAUCCCUAGCUAGGACGCUAAUAGGACGAAAUCUACCUAAUCCGUCCGUAGCUAGAAUCAUCGCCUCCCCGGACCCGACCCGGCAGUCGACUUCGAGAUGAAAGGUAGACGAAUCGGUCUUCGACAGGUCCUAAAGUCGAAUAACCCAGCAACCGCUGUGGUCAGGUGAUAUUUAACUUGUGCAUCCUUUACUUCCCUCAAAACUCCCUCACAAUAUUGUAUAUAUUAAAUAAAUUAAUGAUUUGAAAUUUGAAUUUGAAAA